CCAGUGGGGUGGGGGUGGGGGCCACGGAUGCCCUUGCAGAACAGCGCGGCUGCUGCUGCAGGGUCCCUGUGGGACGAGGCCCGCGGGCUCCUGGCAAGGGAUGCCUGAAAUAAGAGCCUUGGAUUUCACCUCCCGGAGCCGCACUCAGACAGGAGUCAUUCAUUAUCAAAUCUCUGCCUCUCCUAGGGCCUGAUUUUGGAAGCUGAGCUGACAAGCUUCCCAGGGCUUCCCCUCGGGGUUAGAAUUUCUAAUGGCAGGCCUUCUGCUGCCUGGCCCUGGGUGGGGGGCAGGGGGGUGGGGCGGGGGGUGGCGGUGACACUGCCUGGUGCGGGGACCCUGCCUGCCUCUCCCGGGUGGGCUGGAAGGAGGUGCGGGGGUGCCCGGCUGGCCCUGCCCUGCCGUGGGCGGCUCCAGCUGCUGCAGCCCCGCCGGCCACCCCACUCCGGCUGCCGGAGUCGCCAGGGGCUGAAGGGCGGUGGCGGGGUCUUCAGCUGCCCGUGCAAUGCGCCACAGCCCCGUGGAGGCCCGUCUCUUCCUCCUACCGAGUGUUAAAUUGGGAAAGGAGGCAGCAAGAAGCUGUAAAUACAUCAUGAGGCCGGGAAAUGUCUUUAAAUAAACACAAGGAGGCCUGGGCCGCAGGCCCGGGAGAGGCAAAGAGGCAGGGCUGGACCCACGGAGCGGACGAGUCCUCCUCUGACUCUCCUGUAACGACUCUCGCAGCCGUCAGAGAGGCAGUCCACCUCCUCACGGAUGGCCCCGCCCGAGGCCUUGAGCUCUGGAAGAGUCUACGCGGACCGCCGAGGCUGAAAGAGACGGAGCGGAGGGAAAGGCAGAGGAUGCGAAUCAAACAAGGCCCGUGUGUCACCCGCGCUGAGCGAAGACAUAAACUGAGGCGAGGCCACGUCGCCCUCGUCACGCGGCCGCCAGGACCGCGGGAGGCGCGGGACGCCCGUGUUCACGGCUCUGGCUCCCCGGCCCCGAGCAGACAGCUGCUGGUUCACACACCGCCCAGGCGGGAGGCGGUGCCAUGUGGCUCGGACCCUCCCACAGCCGGGAGUGCAGUGGACUGGGCGGCGCUGCGAAGCGGGCCAGAACCCGGCGCUCGGCUCGGGGGACUUCUCAGGGAAGGGCAAGGUGCCAGCAGUGCCAGGCUGCCUUGGAGGUGCUGCUCGAGCCGCCCUGCUCCCCGGGUGUGA
rnacentral:lncRNA from 1 species